GAUGAACGCUGGCGGCGUGCCUAAUACAUGCAAGUCGAGCGAACAGAUGAGGAGCUUGCUCCUCUGACGUUAGCGGCGGACGGGUGAGUAACACGUGGAUAACCUACCUAUAAGACUGGGAUAACUUCGGGAAACCGGAGCUAAUACCGUAUAAUAUAUUGAACCGCAUGGUUCAAUAGUGAAAGACGGUUUUGCUGUCACUUAUAGAUGGAUCCGCGCCGCAUUAGCUAGUUGGUAAGGUAACGGCUUACCAAGGCAACGAUGCGUAGCCGACCUGAGAGGGUGAUCGGCCACACUGGAACUGAGACACGGUCCAGACUCCUACGGGAGGCAGCAGUAGGGAAUCUUACGCAAUGGGCGAAAGCCUGACGGAGCAACGCCGCGUGAGUGAUGAAGGUCUUCGGAUCGUAAAACUCUGUUAUUAGGGAAGAACAAAUGUGUAAGUAACUAUGCACGUCUUGACGGUACCUAAUCAGAAAGCCACGGCUAACUACGUG
rnacentral:rRNA from 1 species